rnacentral:rRNA from 1 species
CAGCAGCCGCGGUAAUACGGGGGGGGCAAGCGUUGUUCGGAAUUACUGGGCGUAAAGGGUUCGUAGGUGGCCGACUAAGUCAGACGUGAAAUCCCUCAGCUCAACUGGGGAACUGCGCCUGAGACUGGCCGGCUUGAGUGCAGGAGAGGAGCGCGGAAUUCCAGGUGUAGCGGUGAAAUGCGUAGAUAUCUGGAGGAACACCGGUGGCGAAGGCGGCGUUCUGGACUGCUACUGACACUGAGGAACGAAAGCCAGGGGAGCAAACGGGAUUAGAUACCCCGGUAGUCCUGGCCUUAAACGAUGAAUGCUUGGUGUCUGGGGUUUUAUAGUCCCCGGGUGCCGUCGCUAACGCUUUAAGCAUUCCGCCUGGGGAGUACGAUCGCAAGACUGAAACUCAAAGGAAUUGACGG